GAUGAACGCUGGCGGCGUGCCUAAUACAUGCAAGUCGAGCGAACGGACGAGAAGCUUGCUUCUCUGAUGUUAGCGGCGGACGGGUGAGUAACACGUGGAUAACCUACCUAUAAGACUGGGAUAACUUCGGGAAACCGGAGCUAAUACCGGAUGAUAUUUUGAACCGCAUGGGUCAAAAGUGAAAGACGGUCUUGCUGUCACUUAUAGAUGGAUCCGCGCUGCAUUAGCUAGUUGGUAAGGUAACGGCUUACCAAGGCAACGAUGCAUAGCCGACCUGAGAGGGUGAUCGGCCACACUGGAACGGAGACACGGUCCAGACUCCUACGGGAGGCAGCAGUAGGGAAUCUUCCGCAAUGGGCGAAAGCCUGACGGAGCAACGCCGCGUGAGUGAUGAAGGUCUUCGGAUCGUAAAACUCUGUUAUUAGGGAAGAACAUAUGUGUAAGUAACUGUGCACAUCUUGACGGUACCUAAUCAGAAAGCCACGGCUAACUACGUG
rnacentral:rRNA from 1 species